UAGUGUCUGGGAAACUGCCUGAUGGAGGGGGGUAACUGCUGGAAACGGUAGCUAAUACCGCAUAAUGUCGCAAGACCAAAGUGGGGGACCUUCGGGCCUCAUGCCAUCAGAUGUGCCCAGAUGGGAUUAGCUAGUAGGUGGGGUAACGGCUCACCUAGGCGACGAUCCCUAGCCGGUCUGAGAGGAUGACCAGCCACACUGGAACUGAGACACGGUCCAG
rnacentral:rRNA from 1 species